rnacentral:rRNA from 1 species
AGUGAACGCUGGCGGUAGGCCUAACACAUGCAAGUCGAACGGCAGCACAGUAAGAGCUUGCUCUUACGGGUGGCGAGUGGCGGACGGGUGAGGAAUACAUCGGAAUCUACUUUUUCGUGGGGGAUAACGUAGGGAAACUUACGCUAAUACCGCAUACGACCUACGGGUGAAAGCAGGGGAUCUUCGGACCUUGCGCGAUUGAAUGAGCCGAUGUCGGAUUAGCUAGUUGGCGGGGUAAAGGCCCACCAAGGCGACGAUCCGUAGCUGGUCUGAGAGGAUGAUCAGCCACACUGGAACUGAGACACGGUCCAGACUCCUACGGGAGGCAGCAGUGGGGAAUAUUGGACAAUGGGCGCAAGCCUGAUCCAGCCAUACCGCGUGGGUGAAGAAGGCCUUCGGGUUGUAUAGCCCUUUUGUUGGGAAAGAAAAGCAGCAGGUUAAUACCCCGCUGUUCUGACGGUACCCAAAGAAUAAGCACCAGCUAACUUCGUG